AUUGAACGCUGUCUGCAGGCCUAACACAUGCAAGUCGAACUAGUUGCGGACGGGUGAGGAAUGUCUUGUAAAGUGCCUGAUUGUGGGGGAUAACUACUGUACACGGUUGCUAAUACCGCAUACCAUCAGAUUUGCCCAGAGGGGAUUCGCUGGUUGUUGGGGUAACGGCUCACCAGGGCGACGAUCCCUAGCCGGUCUGAGAGGAAUACAAGACACACUGGGACUGAGACACGGACCAGAUUCCUACGGGAGGCAGCAGUGGGGAAUAUUGCACAAUGGGCGAAAGCCUGAUGCAGCCAUGCCGCGUGUAUGAAGAAGGGGUGCGGGUUGUAAAGAACUUGCAGCGGGGAGGCGUUACCCGCAGAAGAAGCACCGGCUAACUCCGUGCCAGCCGCCGCGGUAAUUC
rnacentral:rRNA from 1 species